rnacentral:tRNA from 1 species
AUUUAAAUAGUUUAAUAAAAAUUUUGGUUUGUGGAACCAAAGAUAUAGGAAGUUAUUUUAAAUA